rnacentral:rRNA from 1 species
GGGAGGAAGAAGUGGUGAAUAUUGCACAAUGGGCGAAAGCCUGAUGCAGCCAUGCCGCGUGUGUGAAGAAGGCCUUCGGGUUGUAAAGCACUUUCAGCGGGGAGGAAGGCGUUAAGGUUAAUAACCUUGGCGAUUGACGUUACCCGCAGAAGAAGCACCGGCUAACUCCGUGCCAGCAGCCGCGGUAAUACGGAGGGUGCAAGCGUUAAUCGGAAUUACUGGGCGUAAAGCGCACGCAGGCGGUCUGUCAAGUCGGA